rnacentral:rRNA from 1 species
UACGUAGGGUGCGAGCGUUAAUCGGAAUUACUGGGCGUAAGCGUGACGCAGGCGGUUCGUUGUGUCGGCGGUGAAAGCCCCGGGCUCAACCUGGGAAUGGCCGUUGAAACUGGCGAACUGGAGUGUGGCAGAGGGGGGUGGAAUUCCGCGUGUAGCAGUGAAAUGCGUAGAGAUGCGGAGGAACACCGAUGGCGAAGGCAGCCCCCUGGGCUGACACUGACGCUCGAGACGAAAGCGUGGGGAGCAAACAGG